GUAAACGGCGGCCGUAACUAUAACGGUCCUAAGGUAGCGAAAUUCCUUGUCGGGUAAGUUCCGACCUGCACGAAUGGUGUAACCAUGGCCAUGCUGUCUCCACCCGAGACUCAGUGAAAUCGAAUUCGCCGUGAAGAUGCGGUGUACCCGCGGCUAGACGGAAAGACCCCGUGAACCUUUACUACAGCUUGGCACUGAACAUUGAACCUACAUGUGUAGGAUAGGUGGGAGGCUUUGAAGGCGUGACGCCAGUUGCGCUGGAGCCGUCCUUGAAAUACCACCCUUGUAUGUUUGAUGUUCUAACGCAGGGCCCUGAAUCGGGCUCGCGGACAGUGCCUGGUGGGUAGUUUGACUGGGGCGGUCUCCUCCCAAAGAGUAACGGAGGAGCACGAAGGUUGGCUAAUCCUGGUCGGACAUCAGGAGGUUAGUGCAAUGGCAUAAGCCAGCUUAACUGCGAGACGGACAGGUCGAGCAGGUACGAAAGUAGGUCAUAGUGAUCCGGUGGUUCUGAAUGGAAGGGCCAUCGCUCAACGGAUAAAAGGUACUCCGGGGAUAACAGGCUGAUACCGCCCAAGAGUUCAUAUCGACGGCGGUGUUUGGCACCUCGAUGUCGGCUCAUCACAUCCUGGGGCUGAAGUCGGUCCCAAGGGUAUGGCUGUUCGCCAUUUAAAGUGGUACGCGAGCUGGGUUCAGAACGUCGUGAGACAGUUCGGUCCCUAUCUGCCGUGGGCGUUGGAUGAUUGAAGGGAGUUGCUCCUAGUACGAGAGGACCGGAGUGAACGAACCUCUGGUGUUCGGGUUGUCACGCCAGUGGCACUGCCCGGUAGCUAAGUUCGGAAUCGAUAACCGCUGAAAGCAUCUAAGCGGGAAGCGAGCCCUGAGAUGAGUCAUCCCUGACCCCUUGAGGGUCCUAAAGGGCCGUUGGAGACCACAACGUUGAUAGGUGGGGUGUGUAAGCGCAGUGAUGUGUUGAGCUAACCCAUACUAAUUACCCGUGAGGCUUAACCAU
rnacentral:rRNA from 1 species